GGCCGACUAGCUCAGUUGGUUAGAGCGUCGUGCUAAUAUUAUAUUAACGCGAAGGUCUUGGGUUCGAUCCCCACGUUGGCCA